UUUGCGGAUCUCCCGCGAUCUCUCUAUCCCAUCCUCCGUCUCCUGUCGUCCUUCAGCGGGUCGGUCUUCUCCUCUGCAUGUUGCCCUCGCCGCCUCUAUCCCGCUUUCACAGCACAGCGUAUCUUCAUGUAAACGAGACCGGGACGCAGACUAACCAUGGCAACCGUUCCGCAGCAGGUACCGCUCUCCAACACGAACCGCCGUGCUCAGAGGGAGUGGGUGCUCAAGAUCAAAGAGACGAGCAACAUGCUGUACCGCAGUGCGGCGCAGGCGCAACGCAACUUCGACCAGUACCUAACCGCCAUGGAGUACGUGGGGGCACUGUACAAGGACUACGGUGAGCUGCUCAGCGCAGCCCAGAACAGCUUCCUUAAUGUGCAGCCGGACGUGGAAGGUGUCGAUGACGUUAAAAACAUUUGUUCCCGCCUCCACAUCUCGAUUCACAGGUGGGAGCACAGCGAGGAGCUCUACGCCGUGCGCAACCAGCUUCACCAGCAGACGCAGAUGCUGAAAGCGCGCAGCGACCACUCGUCCAGGGUGCUGCAAGAGUGCGUCCAACGUGAUGAGUUGAUCAAAAUGCACACGGAAAAGAGUGCUCUUCUUGCGACGAACCUGCGAAAGCAGAGCUCCGAGGUGGACAAGCUGCAGAAGGAGUGCGAUAAACUCCACAGGAAGAUCGCCAAGCGCAGUGAAGUGGCCCAGAAGGAUUUGGACUCUAUGGCUGUCAAAUCCACGGCUGCAAUCCUGUCGCUCACCUCACAGUUCUUCAAAGUCAUGCAUAAAAACGGUGCUUUCAUUGCUGAUCGCUUCUCGCCUGAUCGAGCCGGCGUGGGAGAGCACGAUCUUGACACUGCCAGCGAUGACCCUGUCAUGGUACUCUGAGGCGCCUUCACAGUGUGCGCAGCGAAAUGUCGUCCGUCGCGCCGAGUGCGGUGUACGGCCAGAACUACAACACCUUCCAUCCAAGCGAGGCGGACACCCGUGUGUCCGACGGCGCGCGCAACUCCGGCAUCCCACUCCGGUAUGAGACGAACGUGCCACCGGCAAUGUCAGCGUAGAAUACGUGGGUGUUCGUGUCGGGGUGCUUCCGUGGGCGUGUCUGGAGUAAAAGGAAAACAGGGCAGCUCUCUGCACCCCAUCACGCUCGUUUCCUUCGCUUCCUCCUCCUCUGCGAGGCGAAGGCGAGCGUCUUUCUCUUCUUGCGUCCCUUUCCUGUGGUGCUUGCUCCGAUAUGCUCGCGACUGGAUGGAUUUCCCGCCUCCGAGAAGGGCCAUCGGCACUUGCGUCCACAUGGUCUAGCUGUCUUCUCACUUUUUCUUUGUUGUUAGGGCACCCACGCAAGCUCCCUUUUCGCACGUUUUCGACUUCAUGGUUGAGGCUUCGCUGCCCUUAGCGCUGCAUCUUGAUGGAGAAACCGUCUUGAGAGAGAGGGACCGGGAGGAUCCUCCACGGCUUUCGCCUCAGAAUGCCAAAGAGUGAAACGGAAAGCUGAGAGAGCCCCCGCUCUCUCUCCUCGGAUGUCUUGUUCUCAUGGCCCGGGCGAUGGACUCCGACACAGACGCGCGCGAUUCUGUUGUGUGUACCCUCCCUCCUUCAUAGGUGUCUUCCUUUCUUUAUGGGUUUAAUGCAUGGAUGGGGCGCCUUUCGGAUUUAUUUUGUCUGUUGUACAUCUCUCAUAUAUAUAUAUUCACCUUUUGGCGAGUCCGGUCGCUGCGCAUUCCUGAUGGCAUCUCUUUCUUUUUUCUUUUUUCAAACCUUCUAUCGAACCCUUAUCGCUGACGAUGUCGCGUGUUUCUAG
rnacentral:misc_RNA from 1 species